rnacentral:pre_miRNA from 1 species
AAAGUACUCCCUCCGUCCCAAAAUUCUUGUCUAAUAUUUGUUUAGAUACGAAUGUAUCUAGUCAAAUUUAGUAUUUAGAUACAUCCAUUUCUAAACAAUGCUAAGACAAGAAUUUUGGGACGGAGGGAUUAUCAU